CUACACGAAGUUGGAAUUGCAGUAAUCGUGGAUCAGCAUGCCACGGUGAAUACGUUCCCGGGUCUUGUACACACCGCCCGUCACACCAUGGGAGCUGGUAACACCCGAAGUCAGUAGUCUAACCGCAAGGAGGACGCUGCCGAAGGUGGGAUUAGCGACUGGGGUGAAGUCGUAACAAGGUACC
rnacentral:rRNA from 1 species